rnacentral:rRNA from 1 species
UUCGCAAGAACACCAGUGGCGAAGGCGGCCAACUGGUCCAAUACUGACGCUGAGGUGCGAAAGCGUGGGUAGCAAACAGGAUUAGAUACCCUGGUAGUCCACGCCCUAAACGAUGUCAACUAGGUGUUGGGUGGGUAAAACCAUUUAGUACCGGAGCUAACGCGUGAAGUUGACCGCCUGGGGAGUACGGCCGCAAGGUUAAAACUCAAAGGAAUUGACGGGGACCCGCACAAGCGGUGGAUGAUGUGGAUUAAUUCGAUGCAACGCGAAAAACCUUACCUACCCUUGACAUGUCCAGAAGCCCGAAGAGAUUUGGGUGUGCCCGAAAGGGAGCUGGAACACAGGUGCUGCAUGGCUGUCGUCAGCUCGUGUCGUGAGAUGUUGGGUUAAGUCCCGCAACGAGCGCAACCCUUGUCGUUAAUUGCCAUCAUUUAGUUGGGCACUUUAACGAGACUGCCGGUGACAAACCGGAGGAAGGUGGGGAUGACGUCAAGUCCUCAUGGCCCUUAUGGGUAGGGCUUCACACGUCAUACAAUGGUCGGUACAAAGGGUUGCCAAGCCGCGAGGUGGAGCUAAUCCCAGAAAGCCGAUCGUAGUCCGGAUCGU